rnacentral:rRNA from 1 species
AGCGAACGCUGGCGGCAGGCCUAACACAUGCAAGUCGAACGAUCUCUUCGGAGAUAGUGGCAGACGGGUGAGUAACGCGUGGGAACGUGCCCUUUGGUUCGGAACAACACAGGGAAACUUGUGCUAAUACCGAAUGUGCCCUUCGGGGGAAAGAUUUAUCGCCAUUGGAGCGGCCCGCGUUGGAUUAGGUAGUUGGUGAGGUAAAGGCUCACCAAGCCUACGAUCCAUAGCUGGUCUGAGAGGAUGAUCAGCCACACUGGGACUGAGACACGGCCCAGACUCCUACGGGAGGCAGCAGUGGGGAAUCUUGCGCAAUGGGCGAAAGCCUGACGCAGCCAUGCCGCGUGAAUGAUGAAGGUCUUAGGAUUGUAAAAUUCUUUCAGCA